UGAACGCUAGCGGCAGGCCUAAUACAUGCAAGCCGAACGGCAAGACUUGUAGCAAUAUGAGUCCCAGAGUGGCGUAAGGGUGCGUAACACGUAUGCAAUCUGACCCGCAACAGGAGUAUAGCUCCCCGAAAGGGGAAUUAAUCCUCCAUAGUACCAUUGGGAGGCAUCUUUUGAUGGUUAAACUUACAGGGGUUGCGGAAUGAGCAUGCGCAUGAUUAGCUAGUUUGGUAGGGUAACGGCCUACCAAGGCGAUGAUCAUUAGGGGAACUGAGAGGUU
rnacentral:rRNA from 1 species